rnacentral:tRNA from 1 species
GGGCCCGUCGCCUAACCUGGAUAUGGCGGCAGCCUCCUAAGCUGUAAUAAUCUGGGUUCAAAUCCCAGCGGGCCCG